GCUCAGAGUUAACGCUGGCAUCGUGCAUAACACAUGCAAGUCGAACGGGACUGUAGCAAUACAGUUUAGUGGCAGACGGGUGAGUAAUGUAUAAGGAACCUACCUCUAAGUGGGGAAUAACAGUCCGAAAGGAUUGCUAAUACCCCAUAACAUCUGUUAAUGGCAUCAUUAAUAGAUUAAAGAUUUAUCGCUAAGAGAUGGUCUUAUAUUCUAUCAGCUAGUUGGCAGUGUAACGGACUACCAAGGCGACGACGGAUAGCCGGCCUGAAAGGGCGACCGGCCACAAGGGCACUGAGACACGGGCCCUACUCCUACGGGAGGCAGCAGUGGGGAAUUUUGGACAAUGGACGCAAGUCUGAUCCAGCAACGAUGCGUGGAGGAUGAAGGUUUUCGGAUUGUAAACUCCUUUUGUAAGGGAAGAAAAAAAUGACGGUACCUUACGAAUAAGCCACGGCUAACUACGUGCCAGCAGCCGCGGUAAGACGUAGGUGGCGAGCGUUACUCGGAAUUACUAGGCGUAAAGCGCGCGUAGGCGGAAUGUUAAGUCUGUUGUGUAAUCUCUGGGCUCAACCCAGAAACUGCAACGGAAACUGGCAUUCUUGAGUGAGGCAGAGGAAAUCGGAAUUCCCAGUGUAGCAGUGAAAUGCGUAGAUAUUGGGAGGAACACCGGUGGCGAAGGCGGAUUUCUGGGCCUUUACUGACGCUCAAGUGCGAAAGCUAGGGGAGCAAACGGGAUUAGAUACCCCGAUAGUCCUAGCCGUAAACGAUGAUAACUAGGUGUGGGAGGUAUCGACCCCUUCCGUGCCGACGCAAACGCAUUAAGUUAUCCGCCUGGGGAGUACGGCCGCAAGGUUAAAACUCAAAGGAAUUGACGGGGACCCGCACAAGAGGUGGAGUAUGUGGUUUAAUUCGACGCUACGCGAAAAACCUUACCUGGGCUCGAACGAC
rnacentral:rRNA from 1 species